ACAUAGAGACAUACGCAUCACAUAAACACACAGAGGGACACACAUACACACAGAGGUUUUUAUAUGGCUGAGCUGGGAGAAGCCAAGUAAAACACUUUUUCUUUUGUUUCUAGACUAUUUAGCAAAUACGAGGAAAAUGACGUGGCACUGAAGAGGGGACUUAGAGAGACAGGGCCAGUGGGUGGAGGAGGAGAGGACGUGCCGGGAAAAGAAUGCAGAAAGGAGAUUUUUUUUGGCCACAGAGUUUUUGCUAAAAGCAGCUAGGAAGCCCCACGGCUCCAGUGUGCGUGAACUCCUGGUAAUUUCCUUGGGGAAUCCCGCCUCAGAGAACCUCUACCCCGAGAAUUAGGAGGAAGCUGAGCUAGGCUGACUUGAGGAAAGAGAGCUGGAGGAGCGGGGUUCAACAUUUUUCAAAAUAAAAAGUUGGUAGAAUAAUAGGAAGCCAUGAGGACCAAGAAGCUCACAUUUCCAAGGCUUUCUAAGUUUCACCUUGAAGCAAGAUACAUCAUAAAGCAUUGUCUAGGUACAACUUGCACUUUCCUGUCCAAGCCUCAGACCCUGUUCUUCAUCUGGGCCCACAGAGCAACAGCUUCCACUUUUGUGGCCAAAGAAAAAUGCUAACCAGCUUGUAAUUGCUGUAAGGAGAUGGAGUUUCACUUACAUCCAGGCUGGAAUGCAGUGGCGU
rnacentral:lncRNA from 1 species